GGCCCCUGACCGGGGUUGCGGACAGUGUCUGGUGGGUAGUUUGACUGGGGCGGUCUCCUCCCAAAGAGUAACGGAGGAGCACGAAGGUUAGCUAAUCCUGGUCGGACAUCAGGAGGUUAGUGCAAUGGCAUAAGCUAGCUUGACUGCGAGCGUGACGGCGCGAGCAGGUGCGAAAGCAGGUCAUAGUGAUCCGGUGGUUCUGAAUGGAAGGGCCAUCGCUCAACGGAUAAAAGGUACUCCGGGGAUAACAGGCUGAUACCGCCCAAGAGUUCAUAUCGACGGCGGUGUUUGGCACCUCGAUGUCGGCUCAUCACAUCCUGGGGCUGAAGUAGGUCCCAAGGGUAUGGCUGUUCGCCAUUUAAAGUGGUACGCGAGCUGGGUUUAGAACGUCGUGAGACAGUUCGGUCCCUAUCUGCCGUGGGCGCUGGAGAAUUGAGGGGGGCUGCUCCUAGUACGAGAGGACCGGAGUGGACGCAUCACUGGUGUUCGGGUUGUCAUGCCAAUGGCACUGCCCGGUAGCUAAAUGCGGAAGAGAUAAGUGCUGAAAGCAUCUAAGCACGAAACUUGCCCCGAGAUGAGUUCUCCCUGAGACUAUAAGUCUCCUGAAGGAACGUUGAAGACGACGACGUUGAUAGGCCGGGUGUGUAAGCGCAGCGAUGCGUUGAGCUAACCGGUACUAAUGAACCGUGAGGCUUAACCUUACAACGCCGAAG
rnacentral:rRNA from 1 species